CGUAGUUUGGAUCUGUAACUAGAGUACAGGCCAAAACACGUGUCUCCUCGAGCCGGAUUCCAACACGUCUGACGAUUCCAGCCGGGUGAGUAAAACCAUAAGACCAUGGCAUACCAUCCCCCAUUGAGGAGCUGAUUUUAUUCACCCCGGGUUGGGAUCCAAGGACUGACGGGGAACCAAGGACAAGAGGAAGGAAAGCAGAUUUCAAUAACAGACCUAGUGGAACCAGGAGAGUGGGUUCUGACAAGAAGUUUUAAAAAGAAAACAUUGGCAUUCUCCAAGGUGGGAGGGACCGUACCAGUGUGCGUGGGAGCUGGGGUACGGCCCCAGCCAACCAAAGAGCCCAACCCAAACAGCAGGUUUGGCGCCCAGGGAACCAGGGACCACCGGCCCCACCUAGCCCACCGCGCCGCCCGGAAGAGCCAGUAGCAAGCCGCAGACAGACGUGCCCGGCAGAGGACAGGGCACGAGAGAAGCGGCGGACGGCCAGACCCCAAGCCAGCGAGAGACCAAACCCCACACGGCCAGAAAGGCGGGAUGACCCGCCCGGGGCACCCAGAGACUCCCCGCAACUGGAAGAGAAAACCGCCCCGCCCCACCAGCAACCAGGCCCCCACGAGCCCAUCCCCAUCCCCGGGGAGCACGGUGCGGCCCACCCAGCGCAAGUCCGCAGGAACCACACACCCCACCCGCAGGGCCCCAACAAUGGAGAUGGAACACCCAGCAACCGCCCUGUCGAGUUCCCCCCCCUGAAGGAGGGGAAAAAAACAAAAAAUACAUAUAAAAUUAAUAGUAAUAAUAAUAAAAUAUAUUUUAAAAAUUAAAUAAAUACAUAAAUAAAUCAUAACAUAUAUAUAUAUAUAUAUAUAUAUAUAUAUAUAUAUAUAUAUAUAUAUAUAUAUAGUAUAUGUAUGUGUGGAAAAAAUCACAAGACUACUUCAUCUCUACAGAACUGUUUCAUGAGGGUUUUCCUCAAUCAUCAGGAGAUUUCAAUGGAAGCAUUCACAUACAAUGGUUUAUAUAGGGCACAGAGAGGGUGGGUACAGGCAGGCGUAGGGGAGUGGUGAUUGGCUCAUGUGUUACCGAGGAGGUGUUUCCGUCUGUGACGGCAUGUUGAAAUGAUUUCACUGCGCUUGUUGAGUGAUGACAGCUCUGGGUGAUAUAUAAUAAACAGUUUCUCUUUUAAGCAUA